rnacentral:rRNA from 1 species
AUUGAACGCUGGCGGCAUGCUUUACACAUGCAAGUCGAACGGUAACAGGCCUUCGGGUGCUGACGAGUGGCGAACGGGUGAGUAAUGCAUCGGAACGUACCCAGAGGUGGGGGAUAACGCAGCGAAAGCUGUGCUAAUACCGCAUGUGAUCUGAGGAUGAAAGCGGGGGACCGAGCAGCAAUGUUUGGCCUCGCGCCUUUGGAGCGGCCGAUGUCGGAUUAGCUAGUUGGUGGGGUAAAGGCCUACCAAGGCGACGAUCCGUAGCUGGUCUGAGAGGACGACGUGGCUAACUGGGAUGGAGAGAUGGGCGAGGCGAAAAAGGGACGCAGAGGGUGGGGGGUGUGGACAAUGGGGGCGACGCGGAGCCAGCCAGGUCGCGUGCGAGAGGAAGGCAGUCGGGGUGUAAACGGCGUUGGUGCGGGAAGAAAUCCACUGGGCUAAUACCCCGGGGGGCUGAGGGUACCGGACGAAUAAGCACCGGAUCACUUCGUG